AGAAAUGAAUAUGAUGACACAAUUCUUAUCCUAGAUGCUCUGAAGGUUACGGCCAACAUUGUUUUUGGAUAUGCAACGUGCCAAGGAGCAGAAGCUUUUGAAAUUCAGCAGUCAGGCUUGGCCAAUGGAAUCUUCAUGAAGUUCUUGAAGGACCGUUUGUUAGAAGACAAGAAGAUUACUGUACUGCUUGAUGAGGUUGCAGAAGAUAUGGGCAAGUGUCACCUUACCAAAGGCAAGCAAGCUUUGGAGAUCCGCAGCAGUUUGUCUGAGAAAAGGGCAUUAACUGAUCCCAUUCAACAAACCGCAUCUUCUGCAGAGUCUCUGGCACGGAACCUACAGUGGGCCAAAGCUCACG